rnacentral:lncRNA from 1 species
GAUGAUCUUCACCUCCCUCAUCCUGUUUGUCUUCAUGUUCUUUGUCCUCUUGAAUUGUUGAAUCUUUCAGAGUGAUCUUCUUCAUUCCUUCUAUAAGAGGAUCUGCAUCAUCAACACCUUCAUUCUUCCUUGAAGGAAGAUCAUUAGAUUCAUCAAAGACAACAUGUAUGGACUCCUCUACUACUAAAGUUCUUUUGUUAAAAACUCUAAAAGCUUUACUAGUGGAGGAGUAACCAAGAAAGAUUGCUUCAUCCAAUUUUGCAUCAAAUUUUUCAAGUCUUUCUUUACCAUUAUUUAACACACAACAUCGGCAACC